rnacentral:rRNA from 1 species
GAUGAACGCUGGCGGCGUGCUUAACACAUGCAAGUCGAACGAUGAAGCCCAGCUUGCUGGGUGGAUUCGUGGCGAACGGGUGAGUAACACGUGAGUAACCUGCCCUUCACUCUGGGAUAAGCCUGGGAAACUGGGUCUAAUACCGGAUAGGAGCGUCCACCGCAUGGUGGGUGUUGGAAAGAUUUAUCGGUUUUGGAUGGACUCGCGGCCUAUCAGCUUGUUGGUGAGGUAAUGGCUCACCAAGGCGACGACGGGUAGCCGGCCUGAGAGGGUGACCGGCCACACUGGGACUGAGACACGGCCCAGACUCCUACGGGAGGCAGCAGUGGGGAAUAUUGCACAAUGGGCGAAAGCCUGAUGCAGCGACGCCGCGUGAGGGAUGACGGCCUUCGGGUUGUAAACCUCUUUCAGUAGGGAAGAAGCGAAAGUGACGGUACCUGCAGAAGAAGCACCGGCUAACUACGUG